rnacentral:rRNA from 1 species
UACGGGGGGAGCAAGCGUUGUUCGGAUUUACUGGGCGUAAAGGGCGCGUAGGCGGCCUGUGCAAGUCAGUUGUGAAAUCUCCGGGCUUAACUCGGAAAGGUCAACUGAUACUGCUCGGCUAGAGUGCGGAAGGGGCAACUGGAAUUCUUGGUGUAGCGGUGAAAUGCGCAGAUAUCAGGAGGAACACCGGUGGCGAAGGCGGGUCUCUGGGCCGAUACUGACGCUGAGGAGCGAAAGCGUGGGGAGCGAACAGG